AUCUGCACUGCAGGGCUGCCUGUCUUGUUGCUGUUGUUGUUGCUGUUGUUGCUAACCAGCUGACCGUCCCCAGACACUGGGGCUGCCUUUUGUAUCUCCUGGAAGCUGGGAUCUCUGCUUUGAAGUGAGCAUCUUGCAUUUUGUUUCCCUCAGGGAAAAUGGUGAACACGGAAGAUCCCAAGAUGAAAUACACUGAAAUGGAAUAUAUUGGCAAGGGGCAUUUUGGAUCUGUGGUUAGAGCACUCAACAAAGCCACAGGAGGAGAGGUGGCCAUAAAGAAAAUAAGACUUAAGGGACGGCAGAGGAAGCAACUAACCGUUAAUGAAAUCACAAUCAUGAAGAAGCAUAGGAGUCCCAGUGCUGUUAAUUAUUUAGACA